UCCCAUUGGACCCCUCCUCCUCUUUCCCUCGCUGUCCUGGUGACGUCGUUGCCGUCAGAGCGGUGAUCCCCCGGCGUCCACUUCGAAGGCGCUGGAACUGCCUCUAGCAGCCAUCCCAUCCGGGCAGGUCCCAGAAGGAACACGGUGCUGCCCGUGCUGGUGUUGGGAGCGCCCAGGGGAUCGCCUGGCUGGUGCCCCUCCCACCCGGUGCUGCUGGACGGGGAAGGCCACGCGGGGCUGACGGAGCCUCAGGCGAGGGACCGAAGUCCACCUUAAGGCUUUUCAGGCAAAAAAGGAGACAUCCGUUCACCAGGACUGUCCCUGGGCCUCUCGCCUCCGUGUCUCUCUGUGGCUGUGCCACCUGUGCCCACGCACCUGUUUCUUCCACGAGGAGGAACACGGCGGCCAAGAGCUUCCGAGUCUGAUCCACGGCAGGUUCUGGCACAGGACUCACUCUGAUCCUUGGUCUCCAAACCCGGGAACCCGUCCCUUGACUGCAAUCCAAUCCGACUUGAUCCAGCUGCACGGCUCCUGAGGACGGACCUUCCGUGGGAUGAUGCCGCGGAGGGUCCUGUCCCCUGGGACCCCCAAGUCCGCUGCGGGAGAUGGACCUGUGCCAGCGCAGAGGACCCGACAGUGUCUUCAGGGACACGGAGCGUCUUGCUAGCUGAGACCUUCCAGGUGUCAGCUUCAGGAGUCUCAGGGAAGGGGCGCCUGGGGGCUCAGUCGGUGAAGCGUCUGCCUGAGGCUCGGGUCUCGGUCCCGGGGGCCUGGGAUCGAGCCCCGCGUCGGGCUCCCUGCUCAGCGGAGCGUCUGCGUCUCCGUCUCCUGCACCUGCUUCCCUCACCUGCCCCUGAGUCUGU